GUGGGGAAUUUUGGACAAUGGGCGCAAGCCUGAUCCAGCAAUGCCGCGUGCAGGAAGAAGGCCUUCGGGUUGUAAACUGCUUUUGUACGGAACGAAACGGUCCGGGUUAAUACCCUGGGCUAAUGACGGUACCGUAAGAAUAAGCACCGGCUAACUACGUGCCAGCAGCCGCGGUAAUACGUAGGGUGCAAGCGUUAAUCGGAAUUACUGGGCGUAAAGCGUGCGCAGGCGGUUUUGUAAGACAGGCGUUAAAUCCCCGGGCUCAACCUGGGAAUUGCGCUUGUGACUGCAAGGCUGGAGUGCGGCAGAGGGGGAUGGAAUUCCGCGUGUAGCAGUGAAAUGCGUAGAUAUGCGGAGGAACACCGAUGGCGAAGGCAAUCCCCUGGGCCUGCACUGACGCUCAUGCACGAAAGCGUGGGGAGCAAACAGGAUUAGAAACCCCUGUAGUCC
rnacentral:rRNA from 1 species